GAUUGAGCCCUGUCUGUCUGUCCUUCCGUUUUCUCCAAUUUUUUAAUAGGUUAGGUUAGGUAAUAAUAAUAAUAUCAACUUCCAGUCUAUAUAUGUAUAUAAUGACGUUUAUUUUAGCCAAAGAAUAUUAAAACACAAGAACGUGUCAAUACGAGUCAGGAUUGACUGUGUAAGAAAGAAAAUCACUAAGUUACUCUCUAAAACUAGGUGUAACAUGCAGUUAUGAAAAAAAAAAACAAGCUUAGCUCUGAAAAAACCAUAAAAAUAAGAAUACAACAAAUCUUAAAAAAAGCAUCUGCGACGUCAUAAGCCAAUACUUACAUAACAAAAUGACUGUCGUGAAUUUUCAGAUGUACUUAAUAAUAUUUAUGAUAAUAUUCGGAUAAUCACAGCAUAGGACGGAGGAUCAAAAAAGUUAGUGAGAAUAACGCUGUUGGAUGGCCGAAAUGGAUGGCAAGGAAGACAAUUACAAGUAAUCGAUGAUCGGCAGCGUUACAAUACAACUCCAAAAUAAAUGCACAACGUGUAUGUAUAUGUGCAUACAUAUGAAGUAAAUAUACAUACACACAAAAAUGUGUUCCUUUUUUACCUUUAGAUCGCCCUUUUCUAACACCUUUUCGGCUCGAAUCCAAGACACAGGGCUGCCGCUGUGUUGUCGGCAACUAAAAAGCGAACAAAUGAGCGCCGAACGAUUAUUUAAGGCCAAUAUCUCUAAUUACGGUUCUGACACAUAACAAUGCAGUUUCAUUUUUAAAUUUAUGGGUUUCAUUAUUUAAUGUAAACUGAAACUUAAGGCAUUUUUCCGCUUUGUACGACAGGUGGUCUAGACUAACGUUAACAUAUACACACUCGUAACCACGAAGGUUUGUGUAAAUUUCAGUUCAUUUUUGAUUUGCACUAAUUAAUUAAAUUUAUUAUAAAUAUACUAUAAAUAAAUUAUUAUAUAAUUUUAUAAAUAUUACAGACCAAUUUCAGCGAUCCUUAUUAAAUAAAUUUAUACAUCUUCAUGAUCAGUCUGAACAGGCUAAUCAAAAUAGCCAUAUUCGUUUUGUUUGCAUGCAAAAUAGUAACUUUAUUUUCAGGCUAUUUAAACUAAUAGGAUAAUCUUCCAUUAGAUCAGAUUGUAUUUAUAUUUUAUUUGGGUUUGGAAAACUUUAGUUUCUCAGGAUAAUUAUAGUAAAAGCUAGAAAUUGCUGUUGUUUUUUUUUGAUACAUACUCGUACAUAUGUAUGUAUGUAUGUAUGAUUGAUCUUUAUACAUACAUAUUUUUAUGUCUGUAAUUCUUAGCACCAAAGAAAAAUCAGCCUGACGACACACCGAAUUUAAUUUUAGUUUUGAAAAUCUUUACAGAAUUAUUCUUGUCAGUAACGCUUAAAUAUUGAUAUCCCCGUUCAGGUUUGGUUUUUCAUGAUUUUCUGUUUACUUUUAUUGGUUUCCGUUGUGGUUGUAUCAAACAAUAGAUAAUUGUAACAACUGUUAACCGUACACCGAAACAAAUUGCGUUAAAGCGUGAAUUUCUGUUUGUCGGAAGUCCUGAUUAUUUCGCAUUUACAGGCAAAUGUCAAACCUACUGGGUGGGAAUUGAGUACAAAAUAACAAAAACGCUGCGAAUACAUAAUGAUUUAUUAUUCCGGGUUAAAUACCUUGACCAUCCCCCCUGUUAACAAAUUCUUCUUAAUGCGUUGUAAUUGCAUAGCAUGAAAUUUGUUGUGAUUGUGUCUGUGAUUACAUUAUAUACAUAAUUGAGCAAACCUCAGCGGCAAUAAUUUUAUUAAAAAUUGUAUUCUUUGGGAAAUAAGAAUUUAUGUUUACCAUUUGUUAUGCCUUCCAAUUCGAUAUGCAUAUUCAAAGUGCUGUAAAUGAUUCUUAAAUAAAUUUAAAUGAGAUUCACGGUUAAAUGGAAUAGCGUGUAAGUAAAAAAUGUCCUGCAACCGGAACUAAUUUGAAUAUACAUUUGGUAGAUUGUAGAUACAUAAAUAUGUACAUAUAUAGUAUAGUUUACUAUAUGUUAGAAAGUAAAAGAUAAAGUA